UCGUGCCGCAUCGUGCAAGGGGCUUUAAUCGUACAUCCAGCUUGAGGUCCCUUAAUCUAUAAAGUUAAUAUCAACGUUACAAAAAUCUAGUAACGUUGGUUAAUAUCAUGACCACGGAUUAAUAUUUAACUCUAUACCUUAAACGCGUUGAUCCAUCUUUCAAGUGCUGUAUGAAGGGAGGAAAGCUUCAUUCCUUUCUCCAUGAUGUGCUGCAUCUUACUUGCUUCAUGCAUAGCCGCUUUCUGCCAGAUAGGAUGGAUUGUUCAAUUGCUUGCAUCAUAUUUGUGAUGAUGAGCUGCAAUGUCCAAGAAGAAUUGGGGCAGUCCAACUGGAGAGGUAAGGCAAAGUACAAGCUCCAAGAAAAUGAUGUUCAGUGUGAACAUCCUGCAAGCAGAAGCAACGAGCCAGCACAACCAUAAUCCUCCGGCUUACCCAGCACCCACACAAAUAAAUGGCUGCAAGAUCUGGCAACCAUGCAAGUGAAACUGGUUCUUCAUAGGGUUAAGCCACAUCAAUACUAGAGGCCUUUUCAAGUCGCUCGCUCGAAGGUUCUUUCCAAACUUGGCAAGAAUAACACCAGUGAAUGCAGCUAGUUCUACCAUCUCCGUGAAGAAAUAAAUAUCUGACCUUUAUAUUUGUUAACCACAACCAUGUUUUCUCAUCUUGGGUGAGUGUCGAGUAUUGUCACAAGUGAUUUGAGAAAAUGUUGCUUCAAAGUUUCAAAAAGACUGGGAAGCAAAAUUGUAAGUAGUAGUUGACCACCUAGGACUACAGCUUUGUCCAGCAGAGGGCAUGAAAUUACCCCUUUCAAUG